GAUUUUGAAAACCACAACUUUUGACAAAAAAAAAAAAAAAAAAAAUCGAUCCAUGAGUUAUUUCCAAUGGGUAUUUGAUGGUGCAUAGAAGCUUGGACAUGUAUGGUUUUGCAUGACUGCUCAGAUCCCCUUCGACCCAUGUACAUAAUGGCCAUCCAGGAUGGCUACCCUCAUUUGAUCCAGGUCUAAGGUUCUUUCGGAUAGGGAUGAGCUCGGUACCGUCCGGUACCGGAACCGAAAGUACCGGUACCGAAAAUCCUCAAAAGUGGGUACCGGUACCGAAUAUACCCGGUACGGUACGGUUCGGUACCGGUACGGUACGGUUCGGAUACCGGUACGGUACCGGUAUUUAAAGGUAAAAACCGGUAAAUACCGGUACCGAACCGGUACCGUACUGGACCGGUACCGAACCGGUACCGAAAAUGUCAAAAUUCGGUACCGAAUCGGUACCGAAAAGGUACCCGGUUUGGUAAAUUCGGUACCGGUACCGGUUCGGUUCCGGUACCGGGUCCAUUUUGCUCAUCCCUACUUUCGGACAUGCAUGACUGGUGCCAAACAACCACUUUAGUCAGUUGGUUGGAUCUUGUUGAUCCAAGUCUACAUCAUCCUACCCUUGAUCUUGGGAAUUAGUUUUAAGUGAAAGGAAUCGGAUGUUGAAUCAGGAACUGAGAAUCGUGGUAUCAAACUAUGAGGAUAUUUAGCUCUGAUACCAAAUGUCGUAGAUCAGAGUAGGAAAGGACUAGGAUAUAUAAUCUUCAAAUAAAAACGGGUAACAGUAGAAUGGGAUACAAAAUUCAACACGCAUUGCACAUCCAUUUGAGGAUAUUUAGCUCUGAUACCAAAUGUCUUAAUCAUCUCAAUAGGGUCUGUCUUUCUUGUCGUAAACAUUUUAUUUAUUGAAUUUGCUUC
rnacentral:lncRNA from 1 species